UACGAAGGGGGCUAGCGUUGCUCGGAAUCACUGGGCGUAAAGCGCGCGUAGGCGGAUCGUUAAGUCGGGGGUGAAAUCCUGGAGCUCAACUCCAGAACUGCCUUUGAUACUGGCGAUCUUGAGUCCGGGAGAGGUGAGUGGAACUCCGAGUGUAGAGGUGAAAUUCGUAGAUAUUCGGAAGAACACCAAUAGCGAAGGCAGCUCGCUGGGACGUUACUGACACUGAGGCGCGAAAGCGUGGGGAGCAAACGGGGA
rnacentral:rRNA from 1 species